rnacentral:rRNA from 1 species
GAUGAACGCUGGCGGCGUGCUUAACACAUGCAAGUCGAACGGUGAAGCUCAGCUUGCUGGGUGGAUCAGUGGCGAACGGGUGAGUAACACGUGAGCAACCUGCCCCGGACUCUGGGAUAAGCGCUGGAAACGGCGUCUAAUACUGGAUAUGAGCUGCGAAGGCAUCUUCAGCAGCUGGAAAGAUUUUUUGGUCUGGGAUGGGCUCGCGGCCUAUCAGCUUGUUGGUGAGGUAAUGGCUCACCAAGGCGUCGACGGGUAGCCGGCCUGAGAGGGUGACCGGCCACACUGGGACUGAGACACGGCCCAGACUCCUACGGGAGGCAGCAGUGGGGGAUAUUGCACAAUGGGCGAAAGCCUGAUGCAGCAACGCCGCGUGAGGGAUGACGGCCUUCGGGUUGUAAACCUCUUUUAGCAAGGAAGAAGCGAAAGUGACGGUACUUGCAGAAAAAGCGCCGGCUAACUACGUGCCAGCCGCCGCAGUAAAAC